GAUAUAGAUACAUGCACUAGUUACACGUGAAAAUUGAAACGGUUAAAUUAAGGUACAACUACCAACAAGCUCCCCUCCCCUGUUUCUCCCAGCCGGCCCUUGUUACUUGUUCAUUUUCUCCGGCAGCCGUCUAUCCAUAUUCAUGUAUGUCUUUCUUUCGGUAUAAUUGUGUAUGUCUUUCAAUUAUCUAUUCUAUUUACCUUUCAAUUAUCAUAUGUCUUUCUGCUUCAGAUCCAACAGAAUAACAAAACUUGUUGCUGUUCUUUUCAGAUCAGAUCCAAAAGGAAUAAUCAUAUCUUCAGUCAGAAUAACAAUACUUGUUUAAGUUUCUCAAUCUUUAUUUUACUUGAUUCAUUUUAUAAUCCUGUGGUGUUGCUCUUCCAGAUUAGAUCCAAAAGGAAUCACUAUGUCAAGCAUCACAUGCUUCAAAUCCCUCCAAUUCCACUCCCCUCAUCCAAAAAACACUGUCUUCAAUAUAUUUGCUUCCCAUCAUCACCCACUGCCCUUCUCAAUUAUUCUCAAUUUUAAUCCUGUUGUGUUUCUUGUGUUCCAGACCCAAAAGGAAUCAGCAUCUCAAGUAUCGUGAAAUUCUUUCUAGAUAUCAAAGCCAAUGUCUUCAUUUCAGUUCAAGGUUCAAAUGCUAAUACAAAAAAAAGGUUUUUUUUUUAAUUGAAGCUGAAAAUUGGAAUUAAAAACUGAAAAUGAUGUACUAUUCUGUAUUCUUAGCUGCCUUUAUAUUAUUUUCCCUCAACCAAAUUAUUAUUAUGACAGAUUUCCACAUUCUCCUUGUUUUCUGUUUGCAUCUAAAGCAUAACAAGCUCACAACACAUAGAGUAUUGUGGAACGAUUCUGUCAUGGAGAUCUGGUUCGUGUUGCAGAAUUGCAACAAGACUUAUAUGCAUUUAAGCAAAAUUCACUCACUGUUACAGAGUUUUUUAUAGAACUUUUAAGUGUUUGAUUGCUCUUUUUGAAAACUGUUUUCUGUUUGCAUUUAAAGCAUAACAAACUUUAAGGGUUUGAUUGCUCUUUUUGAUUACUUGUUUCAAAAACUGUUUUUGAAAAAAGUUCUCAUUUUCAAUUCUUAAAACUAAAAAACAAGAACAGCUAAAAGAUGUUUUCAAUUUCUGUUUUAGUUUUCAAAUUAACAUUUUUCAACUGUUUGAAAACACCUUAUUUAAACAGUUUUCUUCUUGAAAAAAUAGUUUUCAAAAACAGUUUUGAAAACAGAAAACUAAAAACUGCAAUCAAACACACCCUCUGAGACUUUUACUGCAGAGGAAUUUCUGGCUCUUAGGAGCAACUUCAGCAAACAAGGUUACAGUCUCAGCCAGAACCAAAGGUUAAUCAAUCAGGUCAUUGUUGAGAGGAAGCAUUCUUCUCAUUCAGACAACAAAGACGGUAUUCUUUGUAUUUCUCCUACCUCUUCACACACUUCACUAGGGUCAUGGAUUCUAGAGUCCUAGACACAGGAGCAACUGAUCAUAUAUGUGGUUGUUUAUCUUGGUUGACUAAGCAAAAAGCCAUUAAACCUAUUGGAGUCAAGUUGCCUAAUGGCAAUAUUGCUACUGUCAUUUUCUCAGGAACCCUACAAUUAACUGAGUUUAUUUUCCUGAAAGAUGUUUUGUACAUUCCUAAAUUUAGCUUCACUUUAGUCUCAGUCACUAAAUUGGCAUCACAAGUUCAUGGAAAAUUGAUUUUUAAUGGAGAUACUUGUAUGAUACAGUAUCAAAGUUUGAGGCAGGGGUUCUUGGCAGCAAACCUGCUUCUACACCUAGUGAUUCGAGUGUAAGAUUAACUCAAGAAGACAACAACUCUCAUAUCAUGAUGCAGCUCAGUAUAGACGAUUGAUUGGGAAGCUGUUGUACUUGACAAACACUAGGCUAGUUAUACAAUUUCCUGUUCAGCAAUUAAGUCAGUACAUAUCUUGCCCAACUACAACUCAUUAUCAAGCAGCUCAACGGGUCUUGAAGUACUUAAAAGGGAGUCCAGAAAAGGGAUUUUCUUUCCUCGUGAUUCAACUGUUCAGCUUAUCGGAUUUUCAUAUGCUGACUGUGGUGGAUGCAAAGAUACUAGAAAAUCGAUCGGUGGCUAUUGCUUCUUUUUAGGCAAAUCCCUUGUGAGCUGGCGUGCAAAGAAGCAAGUCACAGUAGGGCACUGGCAAGUGCUACUUGUGAGCUGCAAUGGCUCUCUUAGUUGGUACAUGAUUUGCAGAUUCACUGUUCUAAGAAAUCAGUCCUUUAUUGUGACAACAAGAGUGCACUUCUUAAUUCAUAUUGCUGCUAACGUCGUGUUUCAUGAAAGAACCAAGAAUUUGGAUAUUGACUGUCAUAUAGUGAGGGAGAAAACUCAAUGGUUUGGUGUUAUUAUUACCACCGACAAGCCAGGAUCAAACAGAAGAUCUCUUUACUAAGUCCCUUCUACACACUUCCAUUAUCUUGUGGCCAAGCUGAACAUGAUCAAUAUAUAUCAGGCUCAGCUUGAGGGGGCUGUAAAGCUAUUUAUGUAUCUGAUAACUAGUAAGUAGUUAGCUUCUAAAAUAAGAAAGUCAGUUAGAGGUUAGUUAGCUUGUUAACUCACUGUUAGGGUGUUAGUUGGAGGUUGUAACAGUUUCUGCUGAGCUGUCGUGUGAGCUGUUUUCUCAGGCAUAGUGUGCGAAUAGACUCUGUAUAAGCUCACCUUGUAACAGAAUUGAUUUAUUGAAUGAAAACCAGUUUCAUCUCAAAGUUUCUCCAUUUACUUUCUCUGGUUCAACCUCAUAACUUUGCUUUCUAUGAGAAUAUUAUUAGCCCUUGAUUUGUCGUUGAAGAUGAGAAUAUUAGUAAAAGAUGUUGCAAAAAAAGUGAAUUCUUUACUUCAUAUUGCCUUUCUAUUGGCUAAUAUGUUACCAAGUACUGGUUCUCCUAAUUGACCUUUACUGUUUAAAUGUUUGUCUGUAUUUCCAUGUGAUAUGUGUAUGAUUGACAUACGACUUAGUGGACAGAGAGAUGCAUGUAUAGUAGGGAAAUAAAUAUCAUUGAGAACAAUGAUCCUUAUGACAUGGAAGAUUUUUCAAAUUGCAAUGCCAUUACAAGAAUACAUCAGUCAUCCGGUGGCCUGGGACAUUGUACAUAAUGAAGCAACAUUCCAGGUGCAUCAGCAUGUAUUCUUUAUAGGGUGUUCAGAUAAGGGGGGGGGGGGGAGGGGGGAAAGAGAAAGAGUUUGUAUUGUAACUACAUUUUUUAUGGUAUGAUAAAAAAUAAAAAGCUUCCAAACCUUAUUUAUAGUAAUACUGGACUCCCAGUUCUAAUCAAAUGCAAAAGCCAUGAUAAUACCAAGAAAUAUGGAAAGCCGAAAGCAGUUAUGAGAGAAAAUUUAAGAUACUUUUGUUGUAAGUAAUAAUUCAAAUGCUAAUCUAUAACUUACUAAUAGAGUUUUGCAUUUACUGUUCGUUAGGAUUUUUAGUUUACAGUUCAUCAAGAGCAUUUUGUUGUCCAGAACCCCUAUUCUUCAAGGCCUGAUACCAUAGCCCUGAUCCAGCUAUCCAGCUGCAAGCUGGAACACCUCUCACUGAUGAUGUUGUGUGUGCAUCUUCCCCUUUGCUCUGGUUCGCCUAUGGCGUAGAACCGCUAGGCCUUCGCAUCAAUCAUCUGGAUUAUCGAUGGAUUAGGCUUGAUAGGUGCCUCAAAGAUCAUCUGUUCUGGAUUCUUUCUGUAUUUGUGUGUAAAUUUCAAAUCCAUGGAACCAGCUGCAUUCACCCUUUUUAGCCACACCCUAGCUCAGAAAUCUUGCUUUGGAUUCUGCUUUACAGGUUGUUUGAUUUGAUACAAUCAAUAUCUUGAUGGCUUCUAGCUUUCCAUGCUCUGUGGCUCCAGUUGCAGGUAGAUGUUUAUUUAUAAACCUUUGGUUGUGUUGUUUCUCAUCAGUUGCUAGUUCAUUCAGGUGGGAUCUGAGACGGUGAGGCGGUCGGAGAAGUUGCAGAAGAGGACUAUAGCGGUGGUGAACCAUCUACGCCAUUUGCAAUUCAGCUGCUUAUUAUUGAUGCUGAGGCAAUUACUACUCCAGAUUUAUGAUUAUUUGUUGUUACAUGUUAAAAAAUCUUCAUGGUUACUGAUGAUAUUUCUCUAUCUCAUGCCGCUCGACUCUCCUUAUUACUGACUCUGGACGGCAGAGAUCCAUCAUCAGAUUUGCUCCGACUACUCCACACCGAGGUAUCAUCUAUCAAUUUUCGAAAAUAUACAGCUUCGGCUGUCACCUUUUGUCUAUAUAGGUCCUUCUGGAAGCUUUCUUCUUAAGAUCGUAGCUUAUCAAGUGCAUGGUUCGUCCAGUCGUACUUAUUUCAUUGUUAUUGGAUGGACUUCGCCAGAAAUGCUGCAAAAUUUCAGAAGAUUGGAAUGAGACCUUUUGAUGGGAUACCUUUACUCUAGGAAGAUUAUGACUUAUUCAUCUCCAAUUACUAAGAUUCAAUGUGUACCAUGAUUUGUAUCAUUUAACAUAUUGGUGUUGGAAAAUGUAUGAGUCCUUACUGCAAAGGAGCAAAAGAAUAGACCAGGUAAGCUGUUUGUCACAAAUAGCUUUGGUUAUGGACUGCGUUAGUUGACUUGAGUUUGUGCAUUUGGAUUCUGUUAGUAUUAGUAAACCUUCUAUAUAAGGUUGUGUAAUUCAUUCUGAUUUCAAUUGAAUAAGAACAAUCAUUCUCUCAUACCAUCUUCUCUGUUACUGGACUCCCAUUUCUAAUUAAAUGCAAAAGCUAUUCAUGAUAAUACAAAGAAAUAUGGAAAACAAUUCUGAGAGAAAAUUUAAGAUAAUUUUGUUGUAAGUAAUAAUUCAAAUGCUAAUAUGAUAAUAACUGUCAGUGGAUAGUUAGGACAGUUAUAAUAGCUAUAGUAGAUAGUUAGGACAGUUACAAUAAAACAGGUUAGUGUUGUUUAAACUUUAAAUGCUGCUUUGUUUCAGAUUCUUGUACUAACAGGUUAGUGUUGCAUUGACAGUUCAACACUAACCUUUUUUGAACAGUUCAAGACUUUUCUCCUUUUCUAGUAUUUUCCCUAUCCGAUCAUCUGGUGAGAACUUCCAAGGAACACAUUUUCCUUCUUUUACAUUUUGCUCGAAGCCCCAAUCUGCCAAGGCAUCCGCACUCUCAUUUUCACCUCUUGAAACACGCGUAAUCUCGUAGCUUUUAAAUUCCUUUGCUUUUGCACGGAUCUUCUUAAUCUGUGAACCCUUGGUGAUUUGUUAACAACCUUUGGACUCCCAUUAAGCACUUCCAUAAAAUUCUUAGAAUCUGUAUAGGCCUUCACUUCUAAACCAGCACAUGAAUUUCCUUUCUUUUUUUCUUUCCACCACUCCAUGCAUUGCAAUUAGGUUUGGCGUGCGGCAAUCGCCUCUGCUUUUGAGCUUCCACCCCAUGUAUGAAUUCGUUUUCUCCUAAUUUAAUGUAGAAUCCAAACAGAAAGUUUCCUCUGCUAUCCCGUAUAAUUCCAGCAGCGCAGCCUUUAUUCAAUUUCUUACAAUAGGUUGCAUCACUGUGGACAUAAACCACUGAUGAGCCAUCAUCAUCAGCCUUAGAAGCUGCUUCAUCUGUUGUUCCUGGUUGAGGAACGGUGUUAACUUCUGCUAGGUUCGGAUCCCCUCCCUGUGGCAUCAUUAACCAUUUAGAAAACAAAUCUUAACAUGAAAAAUCAGCACAUGAAAAACCAUGACACUUAAACUUAACAUGUUUCUCAAAAAUAAAAUCAUUACUAUUCUGCUUCUCGUGCAAAUUGCCACUGACAGAAAAUACAAGGAUACACUUUUUACCAUAGUUUUGGGGGUUAUGUGUAAGAAAAUGAAGUUGAUGUACCAUAGAGGGUUAGUGUAACCUUACCCUAAAAGUUGCAGAGUAUAUGAUUGCAUUUGAUGCACUCUAAAGGAUAGGACAAAUAGAGCAGCAGAUUACAAACAAUUGGAGAGCCUAGAACAUAUACUAUGCGGAAAACUAUGAAAAGAAACCAGUCCUUGAGUGGUUUCUAAGAAAGGUCCAGGUGCAUCUUCAACCGCCAAACGGAAGGAGAAGUGAAGAUGAUGAAGAACCAGAUUUUGAAGACAACUUUGAGGAUCAGGAAAGACAGAGGAAGAGAGAUAGACCUCAGGAUGGCAACGAAGUUGACUAUGUCAGGGUGGAAGAGGAGACAUUUAGAUUUCUACUUUGUAUUUUUCUUGUUUUCUAUCUUUUAUUGUUAUAAUGUUAGUUGAAACAUGAACUUGAUGGUUUUUACUUUCUAUUCAAUUUAUGAAACUUAUGGUGUUCUAUC